CGCUCCGAGCUGGGGUCGCGGGCCUCGGGGCAGCGCGGCGCCGGGUGCCUGUGGGCCGCUCGGCCCGCGACCUUUGACCCGCGGCCAGGCCUGGGCGGGCGAAGAGCGCGCCCCCUCUCGAGCGCGCCGGGAAACUGAAUGCAUUCUGAUUUGAUACACCUCCUAUCUGGACUGAUGGGCAACAAAGAGGAAACACCAAAUGGCGGCCUUUUAAGAAGUGACAGUGAAAACAUCCCUCGAUCCACCAUAUUAGGAUAAGGAAGAGAAGAGGAUGCAAGUUUCCUAACUGUCCUGGUUUUCUUCUUGGAUUCAUGGUGGGGCAGAGGAUCCGCUCCGUGCUCGCCCGCAGACUGCCUGGCUGGCUGGUGAGGGUGUGCCUUGUACUUGACGCAUGGUGACUCUCCUUACGACCAUUCUGACGCAGAGCUCACGGAGGCUCAGAGCAUGAAACGCCUUGGUGAUGGAUGGGAAACGGCCUUGACUGGCCUCCUGACACAUGGCACAGAUCUGCCUUCUCUGUUGCCUUCUUUGAGGCAGAACAGAACGUUUAAAAGAACAUCCGAAAAAAAAUAAAAAUUAAAAAAUUAAAAAAUUAAAUAAAGGAACAUCCGAUUUGGAAGCAGAUACAGUAGGCAUUACCCCUUCCAUGCACUAGCUCUGUGCUGCUAGUUGAGGACGCAGUGGAAGGCUCAGUGGUCCCUGUCCUAACGGGGUUCACAGAAGAAUGACUAGGAGAACCCGUUCAGGAGCUGCAUUGACCAGAGGUAGACCAUAGGCCCUACCACUGAUGGGCUUCAGAAUCCUGGGCAGGUUAUUUAACUUGCCUAAGAUUCAAUAUCUGCAAGUAUCAGAUGAAAAUCAUAAUAACACAUAAUCUCUGUGUCAACUAUAUUCAAAAAAUUUUUUUUCUUUUAUU